UACAUGGGGUGCAAACGUUGCUCGGAAUUAUUGGGCGUAAAGCGCGCGUAGGCGGUUACUUAAGUCGGAUGUGAAAGCCCUCGGCUCAACUGAGGAAGUGCACCCGAAACUGAGUAGCUGGAGUACGAAAGAGGGUCGCGGAAUUCCCGGUGUAGAGGUGAAAUGCGUAGAUAUCUGGAGGAACACCGGUGGCGAAGGCGGCGUUCUGGACUGCAACUGACACUGAGAAACGAAAGCCAGGGUAGCAAACGGG
rnacentral:rRNA from 1 species